rnacentral:rRNA from 1 species
CCUACGAGUGGCAGCAGUGGGGAAUAUUGCACCAUGGGGGAAACCCUGAUGCAGCAACGCCGCGUGAAGGAAGACGGUUUUCGGAUUGUACACUUCUGUUCUUCGUGAAGAAUAAUGACGGUAGCUAAUGAUCAAGCCACGGAUAACUACGUGCCAGCAGCCGCGGGAAUACGUGGGUGGCAAGCGUUGUUCAGAAGUACUGGGUGUAAAGGGAGCGCAGGCGGGAAGGCAAGUGAGCUUGGAAAAAUACGGGCUUAACUUGUAGACUGCAGUUGAGUCUGGUUUACUUGAGUGAAGUAGAGGUUGGCGGAAUUCCGAGUGUAGCGGUGAAAUGCGUAGAUAUUCGGAGGAACACCGGUGGCGAAGGCGGCCAACUGGGCUUUAACUGACGCUGAGGCUCGAAAGUGUGGGGAGCAAACAGGAUUAGAUACCCCUGUAGUC